AACGAACGCUGGCGGCGCGCUUAACACAUGCAAGUCGAGCGAGAAGGCGUAGCAAUACGCUUGUAAAGCGGCGAACGGGUGAGUAACACGUGGGCAACCUACCCUCGAGUGGGGAAUAACCAGCCGAAAGGUUGGCUAAUACCGCGUACGCUUCGGUUUCUACGGGGACCGAAGGAAAGCCAUGCCGUGGGUAUGGCGCUCAAGGAUGGGCUCACGUCCUAUCAGCUUGUUGGUAGGGUAACGGCCUACCAAGGCUACGACGGGUAGCUGGUCUGAG
rnacentral:rRNA from 1 species